AUUUUACUAUUAAUACUCAUUAUCCCAUUCGCUGUUCUGCUGUGCUUAAUUUUCACAAAAGUUCAAGGUUAUCACCCCUGAAAUUUUUUUCCCACUAAGAACAUAGCAAGAAAAUGAAUGUAAUAUCAAGAACCUAGAAGUCUUCUACUAACCAGUGCUUUAUAUUCUUCAUGUUUCUAUUAGAUUUCUGUGUUAGGGAAGCAUGGUAAAGAGGCUAAUUGCGCUUGAACUUGGCUUGGCUACCUAUGAAGGGGGCUCAAGGUUCAACACCCAACUUGGGCAGAGUUGUGUUUACUGAGUGCCUGAAGGCAGCACGGAAAAAACUUCUCCUAGAUACCCCCCUCCCCCCCAACUGAGAUUGAACCAAAGUGCUCUGAGCAAGCUAUAAGCAUGAAAGUAACGCUAUAUAAAUGCCAUAAUUUAUAAUUUAUUUGUCAUGGAUCAAAUAAAAUUGUUUCCAAUUUUUUCAUAUCAUAUAUUACAAAAAAAUGCUAAUGAUGUAUUUAACAUUGUGAUAGAUACCAUUAUUUUCUUUUGUAAAGAAAAGAAUAAAAAUUACCUGAAGACAA